CGUUGUUGACAGUUGUACAUAUGCGCACACCAAUGGCAUUCGGUUAAAUGCGAGGCCACAUACAGGUACUCAGUGCUGAGGCGGAUGGAGGCUGAGGGGCCAGGAGGGACGGAGGAGGAGGAGGACAGGCCCGGGCCCUACACACUGGGGGAGGACUCUGAUGAGGAUAUGUUGGAGUGAAUCAUCACUCGGAUGACACUUCUCUGCGCUCAGGUUAGCUGAGGUCGACUGUGAAGUGUGUGUGUGUGCGUGCGUGCGUGCAUUCGCUAAGCUGUUAACCUCUUCUUCUCCUUGCACCCCUUCCAGUCUACAUGCUCCCGAAAUCCAGUUACAACAGUGCUAUUAUCCACUGAUGCUCGUUUUAAUUCAGGGAAUUGUUGUCAUGACAUGCGUACCUUAUUCUACACAUCUGGACUGUUAAUAAUAUUUUUAAUUGUAUAACCGAUACCAAUGGCUAGCAGAACAAAAUAAUCAUUCUUCACAAGUAUAGAAGCUGUGUCUGCACUGUAUACCGCAAUCAAAUCUUUCUAUUUGUUACUGACCUCUUCAAGCACUGUUUCAGUUGUUGAGUAUUGUUGUGUCAUCUUUAAGUAUUAUUCACACAUUUAAUGUAAAGUAUGUUAUACUAUGUUAACUUAACACAGCUGCCCAGGUUUUGUCUUUAAGACAAGCUGUUGUGCUUACGUCCUUUAAUUAUUGUUCUUGUUUGUCAUUUAGCAGACGCUCUUAUCCAGAGCGACUUACAGUAGUGAGUGUGUGUUUUUCGUUUUUUAUUUUCUUCUUUAUAUUAUAUAAACAUGUUGUAUAAAUGUAUUUCCCCCUGAGCAAAAAUGAAUAUGUCAAUCAAUCAAAUGUAUUUAUAAAGCCCUUCUUACAUCAGCUGAUGUCACAAAGUUCUGUACAGAAACCCAGUCUAAAACCCCAAACAGCAAGCAAUGCAGGUGUAGAAGCACGUGUUUGCAGUUCUGUUUUGUGUUUGCCGUUCUGCACUUUGACAUUAAAUAAUGUACAGUACCGCUACUGUGAGCUUCUUCAGUGCUUGUAAAUAAAGAGACACUCUGCUCAUCUGGCAUGAGGGACACGUCAUUAUCAACC
rnacentral:lncRNA from 1 species